GGAGAGAGGAGGGGAAAUAGCAUGGAUGGUGAAAGGAGACCCUCAUCAUUACACAAAAUACAUGUAUGAAGAUGUGAAUGUGGUGUCACUAUACCUUAUAUAUAAUCAGAGAUAUGAUAAAUUGUGACUUACUGAUUCUUAUAGAGAAAAAGAGAAAGGCCCAACAUACAGGGGGAAAAUUACAUUACAACUAGAGUUCCUUGGGAGAAGAUCUGCAGAAGCCGAAAAUGUUUUGUAAUAUAUUUUCCCUUAAAUAGAAAUAGAGAGUGAAAUUUAUAUCCAAAUGUAAAUUAGUAAGUUUUUGUAAACAACCCAACAGUUAUUGCUACAUGAUCCAUGUUUAUUUUUAAACACAAGCAAAAAAAAAAAAAAAAGAACUUCUAAAGCAUUGAACCUGUCUAUAAGUAGUGAGCCUGGGAGUAAAUUGUCAUAUUUUAGAAAGAAAAUUUUGACCUUUUAAAAAAUAAAACCUAUAUUGAAGUGUCACAAGCAUGAUUUUUUUUAAAGAUAGUUUUGGAUUUUCUAUAGCAACAGUGGCCUACAAAUAUCAUCCCCUAAAAUAAAUUGAGAUUCCACAAGAGGCUAGGGGGAAAAGUGGAGAUUAAUAUUGCCCUUAAUAACUUUUCUCAAAAUAAGUUUUAACAAGUAGCUUUAAAAUAAUUUUUAAAAUAACUGGUUUAUAUCUAAAAGGAAAUAACUUUUAUAAUAAUAACAUGUUGUAGAUACACAGAGUAUAUUAUAUGGAGGUCAUGAUUAAAAGUGGAGUGUGGAAUUCUAUAGAUUUGGUACAACAUGCAUUGUUGCUGAUGCUUCCUGUACUUUUGUAAGCAUAUGGCAUGGGUCAGUUUUAAGUCCAUUCUCUAUUAAAAAUAUAUAAUAAUUUUAAUAUCUACCAUUAUUGAACACUAAUUAUGUAUUAGAAACCAUGUGACACAAACUGCAUUUAUUUAAU
rnacentral:lncRNA from 1 species